rnacentral:rRNA from 1 species
ACUCCUACGGAAGGCAGCAGUGGGGAAUUUUGGACAAUGGGCGGAAGCCUGAUCCAGCAGCCGCGUGGAGGAUGAAGGUCUUCGGAUUGUAAACUCCUGUUAGGGGGGACGAAGGGAUGUCGGCAAACAGCCGGCAAACUUGACGGUACCCCCAGAGGAAGCCCCGGCUAACCCUGUGCCAGCAGCCGCGGUAAU